UGCUGGUCUCCCCGCAAUGCAAAGCAGUUAACCCCGCCAGAUCCGGAAGGAAGCAACGGUCGCUGCCUAGUGUGUGCCGGGGCCGGGCUUGCAGGG
rnacentral:SRP_RNA from 1 species